rfam:Dipodomys ordii contig_6151, whole genome shotgun sequence.
AUCUUUUUCCAGUUCAUAAGUGUGAUGAAUGGGUUCUCACAUGCUUGUGUGACAUGUGUCUCCCUCAAACCUUGUUAUAACAUGGGCAUAUUAUCCAUCUGACA